rnacentral:rRNA from 1 species
CGGGACGGGUGGAGUAAUGUCGUAGGGAAACGUCGCCUGAGGGAGGGGGAUAACUACGGGAAACGGUAGCUAAUACCGCAUAACGUCGCAACGAACCAAAGGGGGGGACCUUCGGGCCUCUUGCCAUCGGAUGUGCCCAGAUGGGAUUAGCUAGUAGGUGGGGUAACGGCUCACCUAGGCGACGAUCCCUAGCUGGUCUGAGAGGAUGACCAGCCACACUGGAACUGAGACACGGUCCAG